rnacentral:RNase_P_RNA from 1 species
GGAGUUGGCCAGGCAAUCGCUGCUUUCGCAAGAAAGGGGAGGAAAGUCCGGGCUCCACAGGGCAGAGUGCCAGAUAACAUCUGGGCGGCGUGAGCCGACGACAAGUGCAGCAGAGAGUAGACCGCCUAAGUGUAUCGCAUGGUACACCGGUAAGGGUGAAAGGGUGCGGUAAGAGCGCACCGCGCAACUGGUAACAGUUUGUGGCACGGUAAACUCCACUCGGAGCAAGACCAAAUAGGAUCCCGCUAUAUGUGGCCCGCGUUGGGAUCGGGUAGGUUGCUUGACCUAUUCAGCAAUGAAUAGGCUAGAGGAAUGAUUGCCCCAGACAGAACCCGGCUUAUCGGCCAACUCCACUU